GUGUGAAGAGGCUGACAGCGGCGUGGCCACCACCCAGGAUGGAGAGAAAGGCACUGUGAGGUGUUAAUGGAAAAAUCCAACUUCCUUUUCUUCCAAAGAUGAUGACUGAAACCAAAGUGGAGCUUUCCCUAAAAUAUAUUUCAGAAAAUCUCUAUCUCAAAAAUGAAGCAAUUAAGAACUGUCUGGCUGUGAGGAUCUGGCCUCAACUUGACUUAAAGCAACAACUUCAGUUACAUAUCAAGAUGAAACUUUCUGAGAUGCAAGUGGGUGUUAAAUGGUUCAGCAAAGCCAAGCCAGAGCAGUUGGUGUGCUUUGAAAUGAAGCAACAUUGGAAAAAUGAAAUCUACUGAAAGAUCACUACGUGUUUCAAAGGCCUUCAGACUCAGACUGGAACUGCACCGUUGGCUCUCCUGGGUGGGUCUCCAGCUUGCUGACCACAGACCUUGAGACUUCUCAGCCUUUAGAAUCAUGGAAGCCAAUUCCUUAUAAUAAUAUAUAUCCUUUUCCUAGUCUGUGGACUUUUCCCAGCUCCAGACAGACAACCUUCUAUAAACUCCAGGAUGCUCCAUCAAUGCCGUCUGGACUCUACAGAUUUUGACCCUGAAGUAAAGUAGGAAAGGCUAUGAGGACAUGUUAAAUGUUGUACUACCGCCUGAAGCCUUUUCUUCUUUAAAUUUUUCAACAAGAGUUGAAUGCACACGUGGAGCUUAAUUGGACAACAACUUUUCUCCUCUUCUGUGGGAUCCCGUCAGUGCUUUAAGCAAUGAGAAGGCAGCUCAUUUCCAAGUUUGUGUGGUAAAUUUGGGGCAAGUGGGAGAAAAGAAAGAAAGGCUGAGUCUUAUAGGGUGUGAUUUGGUUCUAGACAUGCUUAUGUUACUUUUUAUAAGAUUAUCCAUUUGACUAGAUUUCUUUCCUGCUGACAAAAGAGGCAAUUUCUACAUAUAAAAUAAAUCUGAUUAAAAC
ensembl:lncRNA LINC02997 long intergenic non-protein coding RNA 2997